rnacentral:rRNA from 1 species
UAGCAAUACAAAUGAUGUCCAGUGGCGUAAGGGUGCGUAACACGUGGGCAAUCUGCCGAGAAGUGGGGGAUAGCUCGCCGAAAGGCGAAUUAAUACCGCAUGUGGUUAGAGGGGACAUCCUCUUGACACCAAAGCCGGGGCAACCUGGCGCUUCUUGAUGAGCCCGCGGCCUAUCAGCUAGUUGGUGAGGUAACGGCUCACCAAGGCUAUGACGGGUAGCUGGUCUGAGAGGACGACCAGCCACACUGGAACUGAGACACGGUCCAGACACCUACGGGUGGCAGCAGUCGAGAAUUUUUCUCAAUGGGGGAAACCCUGAAGGAGCGACGCCGCGUGGAGGAUGAAGGUCUUCGGAUUGUAAACUCCUGUCAUUAGGGAACAAUGUGCGGUUAUUAACUGUAAUCGUAUUGAUAGUACCUGAAGAGGAAGAGACGGCUAACUCUGUGCCAGCAGCCGCGGUAAUACAGAGGUCUCAAGCGUUGUUCGGAUUCAUUGGGCGUAAAGGGUGCGUAGGUGGCGCCAUAAGUCAGGUGUGAAAUCUCGGGGCUCAACCCCGAAACUGCACUUGAUACUGUGGUGCUUGAGUACUGGAGAGGAGAUUGGAAUUCACGGUGUAGCA